CGGGAGGUUUCUUCAACAACGACAACAGAUUCAACUACGCGGUAGCUUGCAAUCGAAAAUAAAACCGAAACAUUGAAGCGUUUAAGACCAGCCUUGUGUAUAUUACUCUUUGUGUUUUGAACAUAAUUUUGUUUACCUAUCAUCUAGUUAAUUUAAACGUAAUUUGUUUGUUAAAUUAGCAUAUGUGUUACAUUGAUACUGCACUAGGCCAAUCGCCUGGAACAUGAGCUCACUAAACUCGACGGAGAAAUAAACUCUGGUGAAAGGAGAGGAAGAAGCUUUCAGAAUGAAAAAGGAGGAAGAGGAGGCUAUCACAUUAAAAGAAGAAGAGGAUGAUAUUACAGUGAAAGAGAAAGAUGGGAAAGAGGUUGUCAGAGUGGAAAAGGAGGAGGUAGAAGCUUUCAGAAUCAAAAAGGAGGAAGAUGCGGUAACAUUGAAAGAAGAGGAAGAACCUUUUGGAGUAAAAGAGGAAGAGGAGGUUAUCUCAAUAAAAGAGGAGGAAGACGUUUUGGAAGUGAAAAAGGAGGAGGAGGCUGAAGAUCGGAUUACCACCAGACAACGCUAGCCCUUCUGCCCUCCCAGAGUCCUCGUGUCGUGCCUCUCGCGGUAGCACCUUAAUGCUGGGUAUGAAGAGGUUGUCUGUGCUGCUGGUGGACUGCAGGAAAACAACGGGGCUGAGUGGAACUGUGAGAGGAGGAGAAGAGAAGAAAGGAUCAGAUUUAACUCAUCAAAGAGGAAAUACGGAAGAACCAGAGACAUCCAAACCAGCAAGAUGACACCUCUGCUCCCAGUGUGGAAAAUUUUUUGCCACAUUAGGAACCCUGAAAAGACAUGAGUUGACACACACAGGAGCGAAGCCACACCAUUGCGGCCAGUGUGGAAAGAGUUGUAGCCGCUUAGGACACCUGAAAUCUCAUGAGCAAAUACACACAGGGGAGAUGCCAUAUCAUUGUGCCCACUGUGGAAAGAGUUUUAACCAGUUAGCUAACAUGAAAAAACAUGAGAAAAUACACACAGGAGCGAAGCCACACCAUUGCUCCCAGUGUGGAAAGAGUUUUAACCAGUUAGGACACCUGAAAGCUCAUGAGCGAAUACACACGGGCGAAGCCUUACAAUUGCUCCCAGUGUGGAAAGAGUUUUAACCUGUUAGGAAAGCUGAAAGAACACAUGAGACUGCACACAGGGGAGAAGCCUUACAAAUGCCCAGACUGUGGGAAGACAUAUUACUCAUCAUCGUCACUUAAACGUCAUGUGAGAAUCCACACAGGAGAGAAGAAUUACUUCUCCUAGUGUGUAAAUUGAUAUUUCACAUCACAUUGACUUCAUUACUUCUUCUAGUGUGUAAAUUGAUAUUUCACAUCACAUUGACUUCAUUACUUCUCCUAGUGUGUAACCUUGUAUUUCACAUCACAUUGACUUAAAAUGCAUCGUUGUCUUAUGUUGUUCCUGAGAAUGUGUUUACUUGUUUAUACCAUAUUGAAUUGUGCUAAGUAUACUCAAACAUAUAUUUGUAUGUUUUUAUUAGAAAACUUGAAUUGAAUAUGGAGUAUUUCCGUUUUAAUAUAGAUUAGGUCAGAUUUCACAUGUUUAAAUUGUCUUUUUUUUUUUACUCUGACUGUGUGUGUGUUUAUCUGGGUGUCUUUCCUCCAGCACUACAGAUAAUACAGUGAUAUUUGGAUGUGAUACAUUUUCUCCAUUGUUUACAUUUGCGUUGUUGGCCCACUGAUGAUUUAAUGAAAUGAAAAUGUUCAGACUCUGUAAUGGAAAAUGUUAAUUGUAUGUGUCCACAUAACUGAGUAUGUGACUAACCUUGUGAAACUGUCAUAUUAUAAUCUCCUUUUCUUGGCAGUAUCAUCCUGUGUUGCAAACCAGUUUGCACCUGUGUCCUUGUAUGAAUGAAGUCCCUCCCAGGAAAAGGAAACUAUAAAGUUAUGUGCUCAUCACCCAAUGCUUCAGGAAUUCAGACUGUACACUGUGCUGUGCAACUCUGUUAUUCUCUCUGAGCUCAGAAAUAAAGACUCUUGGUUUGACUUGGACUCCAGCAGAUCCUUAUUUUAUAAUAUCCACCACAACUCGCCCACGGAUUGCUGUUUAUCAUUGUCUCAAUGAAGAGUUCCUUGUUCCACUUUCCUGGGGGAAUGUGCAAGCCUCCCACUGGUUGAAUAAACGUUGUUUCCACAUCAUUUCAACAAAAC
rnacentral:lncRNA from 1 species